UUCUUGUUAUUGAAACUAACCUCUUUCUUAGUCGUUUCUAAAGAGAUUAGCGCCGUCUUCCUAGACUCAAUCUCUUUCCUUGAUCUCGGAUGUUUCUGUUUAAUACUCAAACCAGACGAACUCGGCCUAUCAAGAGAAGAUGGACAAUUUGCCACAAAAUCCAAAUCCAGGAAAUCAGAGCUAGGCUUUUCCUUACAGGACUGAAACAUAUCUUGAGAUACCAAAAGGCCUGGUGGAGAACUUGAAGGAGAGUUGGAAUGAUCAAUAGAAACCACACCUCUCUGAUUAUCCAAAACCCCUAACCUUUCCUUCAACCCUUUAUCUAUCACAGCAUCUUGAAACUCACACCCCAACGAGGAUUGGGUUAAAGGAAUAUUCAAUUCCUUCUCAGGAACCAUCCUCUGUAAGUGUUCAGAAUGAAUAUUCUGAUUUUCUUGUUGACAUAAGGGCAAUCAGCUUUAUCAUGAGUUAAUCUUUGACAGAAGAAGCAACGUUUCCUAAUUCGCUCAUAAUCAAAAGUGACUGAAACCACUUCACCUGAAGGCACCUGAACUGACUUGGAGUUACGCAGAGGAUUUCUAACAUCCAAAUUAACUUGAACUCUCACAUAAUCCUGUGCCUGAGAUUUCUCCAAAUCUAAUUCAACCUUUACCACCUGACCAACACACCCUGCAAUUUUCUUUAUCGUCUCCUCCGUAUAAUAAUUAACCGGAAUAUUGCGAAGACGAAUCCAAAUCGGAAGGAUCAUCAAAUACUCCUCAGGUGGCUUUUCUACCCAUCGAUCCAUUAUAACACACCACUCAUCUUGAGUCCAAACUCCUGUUUUCAAGAUUUCAAGUAAAUCAUCAUUUGAUUUAUAGAAAAAUUGA
rnacentral:sRNA from 1 species